rnacentral:rRNA from 1 species
AACGAACGCUGGCGGCAGGCCUAACACAUGCAGGUCGAACGCACCGCAAGGUGAGUGGCGCACGGGUGAGUAACACGUGGGAAUGUACCCUUUGGUUCGGAAUAACGUUUGGAAACGAACGCUAAUACCGGAUGAGCCCUACGGGGGAAAGAUUUAUCGCCAAAGGAGCAGCCCGCGUCUGAUUAGCUAGUUGGUGGGGUAAAGGCCUACCAAGGCGACGAUCAGUAGCUGGUCUGAGAGGAUGAUCAGCCACACUGGGACUGAGACACGGCCCAGACUCCUACGGGAGGCAGCAGUGGGGAAUAUUGGACAAUGGGCGCAAGCCUGAUCCAGCCAUGCCGCGUGAGUGAUGAAGGCCUUCGGGUUGUAAAGCUCUUUCGCACACGACGAUGAUGACGGUAGUGUGAGAAGAAGCCCCGGCUAACUUCGUGCCAGCAGCCGCCGUAAUAC